AACGAACGCUGGCGGCAUGCCUAACACAUGCAAGUCGAACGAGACCUUCGGGUCUAGUGGCGCACGGGUGCGUAACGCGUGGGAAUCUGCCCUUGGGUUCGGAAUAACAGUUGGAAACGACUGCUAAUACCGGAUGAUGACGUAAGUCCAAAGAUUUAUCGCCCAAGGAUGAGCCCGCGUAGGAUUAGCUAGUUGGUGAGGUAAAGGCUCACCAAGGCGACGAUCCUUAGCUGGUCUGAGAGGAUGAUCAGCCACACUGGGACUGAGACACGGCCCAGACUCCUACGGGAGGCAGCAGUGGGGAAUAUUGGACAAUGGGCGAAAGCCUGAUCCAGCAAUGCCGCGUGAGUGAUGAAGGCCUUAGGGUUGUAAAGCUCUUUUACCCGGGAUGAUAAUGACAGUACCGGGAGAAUAAGCUCCGGCUAACUACGUG
rnacentral:rRNA from 1 species